GAGUUUGAUCCUGGCUCAGAACGAACGCUGGCGGCGUGCUUAAUACAUGCAAGUCGUGCGAGAACGGGGGCUUCGGCCUCCUAGUAAAGCGGCGAACGGGUGCGUAACACGUGGGCAACCUGCCUAUCAGUUUGGGAUAAGCUCUCGAAAGGGGGUCUAAUACCGAAUGAUACCCAGAGGAGACAUCUCUUUUGGUUCAAAGACGGUGAAAGCCGUCGCUGAUAGAUGGGCCCGCGCCCCAUUAGCUAGUUGGUAGGGUAACGGCCUACCAAGGCUCCGAUGGGUAGCCGACCUGAGAGGGUGACCGGCCACACUGGGACUGAGAUACGGCCCAGACUCCUACGGGAGGCAGCAGUAGGGAAUAUUGCGCAAUGGAGGCAACUCUGACGCAGCAACGCCGCGUGGAUGAUGAAGCUCUUUGGAGUGUAAAGUCCUGUCGCCAGGGAAGAAACGAUGGAUGAGGAAAUGCAUUCGUCCUGACGGUACCUGGAGAGGAAGUUCCGGCUAACUCCGUGCCAGCAGCCGCGGUAACACGGGGGGAACGAGCGUUGUUCGGAUUUACUGGGCGUAAAGGGUGCGUAGGCGGGUUGGCAAGUCGGGUGUGAAAUUCCAUAGCUUAACUAUGGACCUGCAUUCGAAACUGUUGAUCUUGAGUACUGGAGAGGUGAGUGGAAUUCUCGGUGUAGCGGUGAAAUGCGUAGAUAUCGAGAGGAACACCGUUGGCGAAGGCGGCUCACUGGACAGAUACUGACGCUGAGGCACGAAGGUCGGGGGAGCAAACAGGAUUAGAUACCCUGGUAGUCCCGACGGUAAACGAUGGGCACUAGGUGUCGGAGGUAUCGACCCCUCCGGUGCCGCAGUUAACACAUUAAGUGCCCCGCCUGGGGAGUACGACCGCAAGGUUGAAACUCAAAGGAAUUGACGGGGGCCCGCACAAGCGGUGGAGUAUGUGGUUUAAUUCGACGCAACGCGAAGAACCUUACCUGGGCUUGACAUGUAACGGACAUGGUUAGAGAUAACCACUCGUCUUCGGACGUCGUUGCACAGGUGCUGCAUGGCUGUCGUCAGCUCGUGCCGUGA
rnacentral:rRNA from 1 species